rnacentral:rRNA from 2 species
CCAAUAGCGUAUAUUAAAGUUGUUGCAGUUAAAAAGCUCGUAGUUGAAUUUCGGGAUUGGCGCAUCGGUCGUGCCUCACGGGGUAUGAACUGGUGCAGUCAAUUUCUCACCUUCUGGAGAACCGCGAUGUCCUUAAUUGGAUGCCGCGGGGAACCAGGACCUUUACUUUGAAAAAAUUAGAGUGUUUAAAGCAGGCAUUU